rnacentral:lncRNA from 1 species
GCUGGAGAAUCUCAUUAUCCCAUCGGCGCUCUGCCUGCUCCUGGCCUCCAAGCCUCUGAAGCCCCUCGGGUUUCAGCUGCCGGCUACCCUCGAGCCCGUGGUGCCCACGAGAGAGGCGACUUUACGUCAGCGGCCCUGGGCUGAGAUUUGAGAACGCGACCAAGUGGAGAAUGUUGGAGCCAGAUUUUAAAAUCCUUGUCUUCCUUCUGCGUGCUACUUGAUCUAAAUGAGAUACGGCAAAGUCACAGAACCUGUUUUUAUGUUUUUGCCUGAUUCAUACGGGCUUCUCCGGUGAAGAUGGGCCUGAAGUAACGCUUGGGUUGCUUCUGACGUUAUAACUCAUCCUGUAGCUGCAGCAACCGUGGUCCUUGCAACCUCAUAAAAAUGUUGCCAGCAUUGUUUCGAUAGUGCUGCUUAAUUCUUGGAAGGUUCUUCGGACUUCACACAUUCCAGCAGUAGCUCUCUCAGCUCCUGUCCUGCACAGCUUUGAAGUGCUGGUGAUGUCAUUGAACUCUUAAGUGCAAGAUGAAACAAGUCUUUCUGGGGUUCUAAGUAGGUUGCCUCAUCACUCUGUUGAUGGGCUAAAGACCUGAAGAGCCAUUUGUCCAAAGAAGACAUACAAGCGGCCAACAGACAUAUGAAAAAAUGCUCAACAUCACUAAUCGUCAGGGAAAUGCAAAUCAAAACCACAGUGAGAUAUCACUUCACACCUGUCAGGACACAGCCCUGGUGAUGGCUUUCUGAGGAUGACACGAUGGAGGCUUCUCCAAUAGCUCUAAAACUGCGGUGUGGAAAACAUUCGGCAGCCUCAAAGAGCGGUCUUGUUGACCCCAACUAUAUCAUUUUUCAUCAAAAUCAUUCUUGUAAAGAAUGACCAGGCAACACUCUUUGAAAAUUGGAGGCCAUUUGCAGCUGCUCUCUGUUGAGGAAAGUGAAUAAUAGGGUGCCCUCAAGGAAUUGCAAAGGUAUCACUCAACAGAAACUUUCGUGUCUGAAGAAAACUAGAUCAUUUUAUCAUGGUAGGCAUGCUGAUAUGUUUGCUUUAAUAAAAUGCCAUAUUUCUGCCUUUAAUCUCUUGUCAACCCGCUAUUAAAAAGCCCCAAAGUGCAUGUGUGCAGCGCAUGUAAACACUUGUGGUUUUGAGGUUACCACAGAACAUACUAAUAAAGCAUGUAAUUUGUGUUUUGUGCA